UUAAAUUAUGAAAUGAGAAAA
rnacentral:piRNA from 1 species